rnacentral:piRNA from 1 species
UUAAAAGAGUUACAAUAAGACAGACUGGCU